UACAGAGGGGGCGAGCGUUGUUCGGAAUUACUGGGCGUAAAGGGCGCGUAGGCGGCCCGCUAAGUCGAACGUGAAAUCCCCAGGCUCAACCUGGGAACUGCGUCUGAUACUGGAUGGCUUGAGUUUGGGAGAGGGACGCGGAAUUCCAGGUGUAGCGGUGAAAUGCGUAGAUAUCUGGAGGAACACCGGUGGCGAAGGCGGCGUCCUGGACCAACACUGACACUGAGGAGCGAAAGCCAGGGGAGCAAACGGG
rnacentral:rRNA from 1 species